rnacentral:rRNA from 1 species
GGCGGCAGGCUUAACACAUGCAAGUCGAGCGGUAGCAGAUCUAGCUUGCUAGAUGCUGACGAGCGGCGGACGGGUGAGUAACGCGUAGGAACCUGCCCAGUAGUGGGGGAUAGCCCGGGGAAACUCGGAUUAAUACCGCAUACGCUCUACGGAGGAAAGAGGGGCUUCGGGCUCUCGCUAUUGGAUGGGCCUGCGUGAGAUUAGCUAGUUGGUGAGGUAAUGGCUCACCAAGGCGACGAUCUCUAGCUGGCCUGAGAGGAUGAUCAGCCACACUGGGACUGAGACACGGCCCAGACUCCUACGGGAGGCAGCAGUGGGGAAUAUUGCACAAUGGGCGCAAGCCUGAUGCAGCCAUGCCGCGUGUGUGAAGAAGGCUUUCGGGUUGUAAAGCACUUUCAGUGGGGAGGAAGGCCUCGUAGUUAAUAGCUGCGAGGAUUGACGUUACCCACAGAAGAAGCACCGGCUAACUCCGUG